AGAGCGAACGCUGGCGGCAGGCCUAACACAUGCAAGUCGAGCGCCCCGCAAGGGGAGCGGCAGACGGGAGAGUAACACGUGGGAACGUACCCUUCAGUUCGGAACAACCCAGGGAAACUUGGGCUAAUACCGGAUACGUCCGUAAGGAGAAAGAUUUAUCGCUGAAGGAUCGGCCCGCGUCUGAUUAGCUUGUUGGUGAGGUAACGGCUCACCAAGGCUACGAUCAGUAGCUGGUCUGAGAGGAUGAUCAGCCUCACUGGGACUGAGACACGGCCCAGACUCCUACGGGAGGCAGCAGUGGGGAAUAUUGGACAAUGGGCGCAAGCCUGAUCCAGCCAUGCCGCGUGGGUGAUGAAGGCCCUAGGGUUGUAAACCCCUUUCAGCAGGGACGAAGCGAAAGUGACGGUACCUGCAGAAGAAGCGCCGGCUAACUACGUGCCAGCAGCCGC
rnacentral:rRNA from 1 species